rnacentral:lncRNA from 1 species
ACAUGGGUUCAAUCCCUGGCUUCACUUAGUGGGUUAAGGAUCCACAUUGUGGUGUAGGUCAAAGACGUGACUAGGAUCUGACAUUGCUACGGCCUAGACCCGCAGCUGCAGCUCCAGUUGCACACCUAGCCUGGGAACUUCCAUAUGCCGAGAGGGCAGCCCCAAAAAGAAAAUUAAAAAAAAAAAAAAAGAACGGGGCACGGACAGCUCAGGGUGGAUUUGAGAGAGCCCUUAAGUUAUUGACAAUCAUAGGAGGACAAUAAAGAGGAGAAAACAAAGAUACAGAUGCUAUCAGGGGAGUUUCCCCAGUACUUAUUUACAUAUCACAAGGAGUUGAUACUGCCCAGCCUGUCUCAUGAUCCAGAAUUGAAGAAAGGGUUCUAUCUGCGUCCCCAGAAACUGCCGUGAUCAUCCAGGUGAGAGAUUGACAAGUGAAGGAUUUUUAACCUCUCCUCUUUUUGUAACCAGGCGUGGAGGGACAUUGGGUGGGCAAGGAAUACACGUUACCUGUAGUGGAUAAAGGAAUGGCAGAAUCAUUGACAGCUGUGUCCUCAGAGACACUUUUCCCACAGAUAGUUGCUUUGGACUAAGCAUCAGGGCUGUAGUUCUUAAAGUUUAACUACUUGUGCUUGGGGAAGAAAAAAAAAGUUUUCUAUUGAAGAUGGCUUAGUCAUGGGAGUCAGUGAAGUGGAGCUUGGGCAAUAAUUCGUCCUUUCCAAAUCCUUGUGCCUUCCUGAUAAUCCCAGAGCUCUCGGUAGUACACCUUUCUCCUGGGUGUUCUUUUCUUUUUUUCAAUUUGGUUGAAGUAAACUGAUGUACAGUGUUGUGUUAAUUUCUGCUGUACAGCAGUGAUUCAGUUAUAUGUAUGUUUCAUAUUCUUUUCCAUUAUGGUUUAUCACAGGAUAUUGACCUUAUUGCUUAUCCAUUGUGUAUGUCAUCUGCUAAUCUCAAGCUCCCAGUCCUUCCCUCCCGCUUGGCAACCGCAAGUCUGUCCUCUAUGUCUGUAGGUCUGUUUCUAUUUCAUAGAUAGGUUGAUUUGAGUUGUAUUGUAGAUUCCACCUAUAAGUGAGAUCAUAUGGUAUUUCUCUUUUUCUGUUUUACUUCGCUUAGUAUGAUAAUCUCUGGGUCCAUCAGUGUUGUUGCAGGUGGCAUUAUUUCAUUCAAUUUUUAUGGCUGAGUAAUAUUCCAUUGUGUGUGUGUGUGUAUAUAUGUGUGUGUAUAUGCAUGAAUGGAUAAAGAUGUGGUGUAUAGAUAUAUAUACAUCUGUCAAUGGACAUUUAGGUUGUUUCCAUGUCUUGGCUAUUGUGAGUAGUGUUGCUAUGAACAUAAGGGUGCAUGUAUCUUUUCAGAUUAUAGUUUUGUCUACAUAUAUGCCCAGGAGUGGGAUUACCGGCUCAUAUUUUUAGUUUUUUGAGGCACCUCCAUAUUGUUUCCUGUAGUUGCUGCACCCAUUUACAGUCAGUCCUUUCUGACUAUUGAUGUUCUUUCGAUGUCAUGUUGGGGUCUGGGCACAUCUGGGCUCUGUUUGCUGGGGGCAAGGGACUGACCUGAUUUGAUCCAGCCUCUCUCAUCUGCUGUCCUUGUGGCACUUCUGCCAAGUCACCAGGUGUGUGGGAGAGCAGGUGCCUUUUCACAGCCCACCCGGGAAGUGUUCUUCCAAAGCAAAGUCAGGGCUCACUACUGCCCCGAAGCUGGUCAGGCUUUGUGCAUUUCUGUGCAAUUUGAUGUUUUCAGGGGCUCUGGCUAAUGCCAUGCUCUCCUCUUUUCCUUGGAAAAAUAGAAGAAAACGUGCAGGGGUUCACCAAAGGUGUUAUAUGUUGAACAGACAUAUUUCUUUCCUCUGGAAGCCUCUCCUUCAACAAUAUUCCUAUAAUAUUUGUGUGCUGGGGUUUUCUCCUUUUAUCCCAGCCCCCAGCUUAUCUCCACGUCAGACAGAGGUGGGGACUGCUGAUCUGGAGGUGCACGGUACCCUCCAGACCCCACAGCAUCCUCUCAACACUGUGAACCCAGAGUAACAUGCUGCUGUUGAUGCAUCACCAUUUAUACCUUUGGAGACAUUCUCUCUUGAAUUGUUGCUCACUGGGACCUAUGAUAUUUCAUUAAGGUCCAGAGGUGCUCAUUAAAACAAGCAUCAGAGAGCAGGCUAGUGGUAACUCAUCACUAUGAAUCCAAGAAAGGGCUCUGUGGAACUUAUUAUAGAAGGCAUUUAUAGAUUGUUAAAUUAAAGGAUUAGUGUUGGGCUAAACCGUUUUUAGGUUAAUCAGUUGUGGGAAACCAGAUUUGAUGUUGAAGCCGACUUGCACUAUGGUUUUACAGUAAGAAAAGUUGUAAAGUGUCUGUUUCUUCUAGUAAACCCUCUAGCUUGCUAAUUGACUAUAUUCUGCAAUUUUGCGCUUAACUGAAUAUGAUUUUAUCCUCUAAUUUUGUUACGUGUGAGUUUUAUUUUUUCCCAACUGGAUUGUAAAUUCCUUUUUUAAUGGGGACACUGUCUUUUUUUUUUUUCCCCUUGUUCCUCAUCCUAAAAGCUUCUGGUGCCAUUCUAGGUGCACAACAACUGUUAAUUUGUUUAUUGAGUGAUUGCUACAUCAUUAGAAUGUCAUUUCAGUGGUAUCAUGUGGUUUAUGUCAUGGUGAUUCCCAUGCAAUAUUGUGUCUAUUUAUAGAAAGACACUGGCAUUACAUGUUGAUGUGUAACUAGGUUGUAACCUGGGGUAAGAAGAGUGCUACAAAGUUCCUAAGUACAUUGAGGAGAUAAACAGGUCUAACCUGGGUGUGAUGCCAUUAACCUCAGAAAGAAGUGGUUUCCAAACCACCUCCAGGAAUGGGCUGGAUUCCACUACCGAGAAACGUGGGUGGAACAGAUCCAAAGCUCUGUUUGUCAUUUGCCUUCCACUUGGCCAUUGCUAAUGAUUGCCUUUUGCUGGUGCACGACAACACGUCCGUGAGGCAGACAGAAAAUGAAGGAAGUAGCAGUUGCGUCCAUGGAAAAACCAAGGCACAAAGAGUACGUUAGAUCAUCUUCAAGUUGUGGCCGGAUGACCUGUAAGUAGAAGCAUAGUAUCUAGCCAUAGUGGGCAUAAGAAAGACAUGAUGGUUGCAGAUUUGAAGGAAAGGAAUGAGCCUGAACUGUAGCUAAGACUAGAACAUCCUCUCGGGCCUGGUCCUAUCACAUGACUGCUCCCUGCCAUAGAAAGCUCUCGUCCCUACCUUCUCCACUUUACCCCAGCCACAUUUUCAUGGUCUUAGCUUUUUUUUUUUUUUUUUUUUUUUUUUUUUUUUUUUCCUUUUAGGGCUGCUUGCAUGACAUAUGGAGGUUCCCAGGCUAGGGGUCUAAUCGGAGCCAUAGCCACUGGCCUACACCAGAGCCACAGCAACUCGGGAUCUGAGCCAAGUCUGCAGCUUACACCACAGCUCACAGCAACGCCGGAUCCUUAACCCACUGAGCAAGGCCAGGGAUUGAACCCGAACCCUCAUGGUUCCUAGUCAGAUUCAUUAACCACUGCGCCACAAUGGGAACUCCUGGUCUUAGCUAUUAAUACUACUAUAAAGGAGUCCAUGGAUGGCAUACAUGGGCCCUUGGCAUCUCAGAAAUGACACUUACUUACCAAAUGGAACCCACUUCCUCAAAAUGGACAGGUUUGGGUCUCAAUGUAUAAUAGACUAAAUGGAGUUACCACAUUUCCAUGGUGGAGGGAUUUACGUGUUUGCAGUUUCUUCCUGACUCACCCAUCUCUUCCACCUGUGCGUUUUCUCCCCUGUUCUCACUCCACUUCUUCUUCAUCCUCUUCUUUUCUCCCCGUAUUUUCUGCUGCUUUUAAUUGCUUUUCUCUGCUUUCUCACUGGUCUGGCUCUGGGUCUGAGGAGGCCAGGGCUGUGGGAGGAUUCCGGCUCUGUGCCAACCUUUCUUCCAAAGCACUCUCUUCUCCUUGGCAUGCACUGAGAUGUUCAGUUCUUCUGUUUUUCUAAUAUUCCUUCCAGCUUUACAAAAGAGAAGUAGGUCAGAUUUGCAAAAUGCCUUGACUAGUUGAUUUAAAGAAAAUGUGAUUUAAGAAAAUGUGUAUCAACAACAUGAUGUAGAGCUAACUGGCUUUUUGCCUCUGGCCUGCCCUGGAUUUAAUCAAACAGUCAUUAUAUUACAGAAAUUUUGCAGCAUCACUUGGUCCAGUAGAGAAAGAAGUCAAAUGUUUAAAUAUUGGUGUUUUGAAGAACAGAUUAGCAUAUUCAUAUCGUUUGCUAUGCAUUUCCUCUUUCCUGACCGACUGAAAUGGGACUAGUAUUAAUUAGAAAUAUUAACAUCUGGGAGUUCCCGUCGUGGCUCAACAGAAAUGAAUCUGACUAGCAUCCAUGAGGACGCAAGUUGGAUCCCUGGCCUCGCUCGGUGGGUUAAGGACCUGGCAUUGCCGUGAGCUGUGGUGUAGGUCGCGGGUGCGGCUCGGAUCUGAUGUGGCUGUGGCUAGGGCAUGGGCCAGCAGCUACAGCUCCAAUUUGACCCCUAGCCUGGGAACCUCCAUAUGCCCCGGGUUCAGCCCUAAAAAUACAAAAAAAAAAAAAAA